ensembl:lncRNA
UGGAAAAAUAAGAGGAAGCAGCUGGGAGCUGGGAAGUUGGGGAGGGACUUAAUGUAAGGUCAGUAAACAGCUUGCAGAGGACAGGGUCAGGCCCAGGGGUGAAAGGCUAAUUAACUUCUGUCAACUAGUUGAGCAGAGCUUUGUGUGCUUUGUUUUGGAGACUAAAAUUACUUCAGAGGAAACAUCUAGAUUCUCUGAAUCUGAUCCAUUUUCCCUGUGUAUCAUAGUAAAUUGUUCGCCAAGUCAGAAUCUAUCCUGCCCUCUAGGAAUUGUCCUCUUCAGGUCUAGCAAAGAGCUUGUGCCACGGUUCAGGAAAUCAGGGGUGAAAUGCUUCACAUAGUAUGAGUAGAUAGCAGGUGAGCUUUAUGUUUUAGUACACAACUUAAGGAUUAAAGGCUGAGUACAGCUGUUGUCUCUGUAGAGUUUAAAAACCAGCUUGCCAGGUUCCCUGCACCUGCUUAUAUACUGGGCCAGGUGACUGACUGUAGAACUUUAGGCAGCUUCUGUAAUAGUUCAGAGAUCUCUCAGAGUCAAGAAACAUCCUUAAAGAAGCAAAUCCUGGAGCUUGUGCCAGAUCUCACGCUGUCCUGGCCUCGUGUUGCCAUCUCGGCAUUGCUGUCAGGAGUGGAGCCACCUACCCAAAGCUUAGCCUGUUUUGUGAUGCCACAUCAGUGUCUUAGGCCACCACUGCUCAUGUCCCUCCCUCAGGGAGCAUACUCAAAACCGGUGUCGUCAUUUCCUGUUUCUUUCACUGUGAAGAAUAGAGGGAUCCUCAGUUGAAGAUCAAAUUGACCCAAUGAGGCUUUUUUUAAUCUAAGCCACUGAAAGGAAGAGGAAGGAGCACCAAUUCAGAAAGAGGGGGUCAUAAUAUAAGAUCUGCAAUGUAUUAACAUGGUAACUCUUUGAAGACUAAGAAACAGAAUCCUGUUUGAAUUCUGAACUAUGGAGUCUGAGAUGAAGACGAAAUUGACAUGUUUCUGCUGGAAUUUGGGCUGACUGGUUCCCUGAUGUGUUACCUGCUUCUGCCACUGAUUGAAACUGCAGAACUUCUCAUUCGUCCCCAAGACUUCCAGUAGGGAAUCAGCUCUAAAAGAAACCAGACCAACGUUUGCCAGCCCCUUCAUUCUGGUGACUGAGGAGAGGAGAGUGGGCAGCGGGUAUACAUGUGUAGUGGAUGGAAAAGAAACACAGACUGUCAGAUUACUGUGCCUCUUCAGUUUCUUUUACCAGUCAAAUUCCACAACCGUAUUAUUUUUAUUGUGUAUGUAUGGGGGAAACUGGAGAUGGUGACCUUGAUUAGAAUGUGACUUAAGAGGAAUAAAUGGGGGGGGAGGGGGUAAGAGAGUCAGUUAUGAAAGAUGUUGAAGUCGAAAUAAUGUGACUGAGGAUUUUUUUUUUUUUAAACCAGAAUUCAUAAAAAAACUUGACAGAGCCUGCCCCCUCAUUUCCCGCCACAGGAGACUUACAGGACUGGAGGCAAUUGUUUAAUAAUAGCCUGUCUCUGCUAUUCCCAAUAGCUACCUCUAUGUGAGGAAUGGAUAGAAUGCGUUCAGGGCAUCAUCGUGCAAAGCUCCAGUAGCAGUGACGCCUACACGGAAGACUUGGAACUGCAAACAGAGGCUGGGGUCACCUCAGUGGCAUCUGACGCCGUCCAACCAGAAGCUCGAUUUUUGUUUGGGGCGGGGGGUUGGGGAGUGUGAAGAAGCAGACUGUACUAAAGAAGUAAAACAAUUUCGUGUCU